GACGAACGCUGGCGGCGUGCUUAACACAUGCAAGUCGAACGGAGUGGCGAACGGGUGAGUAACACGUGGGUGAUCUGCCUUGCACUUCGGGUUAAGCUUGGGAAACUGGGUCUAAUACCGGAUAGUGCAAGAUUAGCUCUCUGCCUAUCAGCUUGUUGGUGGGGUAAUGGCCUACCAAGGCGUCGACGGGUAGCCGGCCUGAGGGGGUGUACGGCCACAUGGGGACUGGGAGACGGCCCAGACUCCUACGGGAGGCAGCAGUGGGGAAUAUUGCGCAAUGGGCGGAAGCCAGAUGCAGCGACGCCGCGUGGGGGAUGAAGGCCUUCGGGUUGUAAACUCCUUUCGACAGGGACGCGGUACCUGUAUAAGAAGCACCGGCUAACUACGUGCCAGCAGCCGCGGUAAUUC
rnacentral:rRNA from 1 species